rnacentral:rRNA from 1 species
AUUGAACGCUAGCGGGAUGCCUUACACAUGCAAGUCGAACGGAGUGGCGAACGGGUGAGUAAUGUAUCGGAACGUGCCCAGUAGCGGGGGAUAACUACGCGAAAGCGUAGCUAAUACCGCAUACUAUUGGAGCGGCCGAUAUCGGAUUAGCUAGUUGGUGGGGUAACGGCUCACCAGGGCGACGAUCCGUAGCUGGUUUGAGGGGACGACCAGCCACACUGGGACUGAGACACGGCCCAGACUCCGACGUGAGGCAGCAUUGGGGAAGUUUGGACAAUGGGCGCAACCCUGAUCCAUCCAUCCCUCGUGGGCGAUGAAGGCUGUCGGGUUGUAAAGCACUUUUGGCAGGAAAGCGGUACCUGCUGUCUAAGCACCGGCUAACUACGUGCCAGCAGCCGCGGUAAUUC